AACAGACUGUCACUAACAACUGCUCUAAAUAUGUCACAGAUCAUCUUCUAUCUCAUCACUUAUUAAACAUUUAGAGUGGAAAAAAAGGAGACCACAGAGAUGAUGUCUUACUCAUGCGCCACGUUACGCACCACUGGCGUGGACUGAUUAUGUCAGACUUGUAGGAGAAAAAGAAGAGACAACUAUAAUAAGCUCUCCUUACACGACUGGCUGCCCAGCUGAAGCGAGGGGACGUGGAAUAUGUCAUCGCUGCCCGGUGGAGGGAUCAGGUGACCUUGCUUGCCGCCUCGGCAGGAAGGGAGGAAAAGUUAAUGUGUUCACGCUACGACGUCUAGGUUUCUCCCCCCGAUCCGUCUCGCCUUUCAUUGGUUAAUUAUUAAGUGUGGGAAAAAGAGGCUUGUAUAUCAAAGGGCAUGGUAAGGUCUAUAAAUGUGUGUUCGGGACCCAUUGUGUUGCCGGGGAAGAUUUGGGUUUCGCUCAGGGUUUGUUUGUGAAGGAGGGUGCUCUAUGUGGAUCACUGUGUGUCCAUAGCCCUGUACACACUCCGGUUGUACAACUGAUGUACAACGCAUUUGAUGGUUGUGAUACAACUGAUAUGUUUGUGCUACAACAGAGUUUGUCUGCUCAAAAGUGUUUAUCAAACUAUUGUACGGUAUCUCCAAUUAUCUUUGUGCAGAAAAACUCUCAGCUUUAUCACAACCCAAUGUGUCAAAUGUGUUGUACGUUAGUUGUACAACCUGAGUGUGCACGGGGCCCAUGUGCGUGAGAGAGCGCAUUGCCUAGGGUUUCUAUCGAAACAAUGCCUCAGCGAUGACGGUGCGAAUUGUACUGUACUGUACCUGGGAGGCCUUGGGUAGUAUUGCUGUCCACAUUGUUCGAGACAACUAUGCUACUUGUAACUCAACUACACUCCCAUUGAGCACGAGAGCCACACCUCUCACAUUUGAUCUCAGCUUCCCAAAGCGAUCAGCUUGCCGUCACACAGACACGCACUUACCGCGGGAGGUUGGUGGCACCUUCAUUGGGGAGAACUUACUCGCGGUAACGACUGAAGCGGAAUCAGUGGAAAGGUAUCAAAUGCGUCAUACACGUGGUUUCCAUGUGUUUGAUGCCAUUCCGUUCGCUCCGUUCCGGACGUUAUUAUGAGCCAUCCUCCCCUCAGCAGCCUCCACUGACACUUCCAGUAUCUUUGCCAUAAAGGCCAAUGAGACGGAGGUUCUUGUUCUUAUUUUAUUCAUCACCAGUGAUAGGUAAAAGACCUUUAGGUCUCACAUGUUUUCCAUCUAAAUGGCCUGAAGAGGCUGCCUCACCACAUCUCCCCGCCUUCAUCUCCAUUCAUCUGAAAACCCAGAAUAGGUGAAAGCAACAUUGUGGGUGUCUAUAUUGUGAAUUUGUUUUCACCUCUCCAGUUCUUUCAUGUCUGUUCAGGUAAAGGGAAGACGAGGGGGAGAGGUAGUUUUUUUUUGACUAUUGCGAUGCACCCAUUGUUUCACUUGUCCAGAGCUUUUAGUCUUAUAGGACAGGAGACAAGGAGAGAAUUCUGUGUAAAGCUAUUAGGAAGUAGCCGAAGAGGCGUAAGGAUGCUUUCUCUUUAGUGUCUGUUUUUGUGCAAAGGUCCACUGGAGAGAACCACAUGGGCCAUAGGUAGAACAUGGUAAGUAAAGCCUUGUCGUGCAACAAUCAUGGAGCCUUCAUUAUGCAUCUGCUUCUGUAUACAGAUUGUACGGCAUGUUGAUUGACUCAUGCCCAGCGGCAUAUGGAACCAUUUUGUUUCUCAUAUCAUUUGCUUACAGUUGAUAAAAAAUGUUUCGGUUUUUGAUCAUUUGCCAUGUCAUGUUUACCAAAAUGUACACAAAUUCCCAGUCUCCCCUUGAAGAUUUUGUUUCUCAUAUGAUUUGAUUAGUGCACCAUUUACAUUUAACAGCCACCCAUGCAGUUCUGUUAUUGUUAGAAGCACUGGUGCAGUGAGGUUGUGCUUUUCUAAUCUUUAUGAUCUGUAACUGAACAACAAGGCGGCUUUGUCAGGGGCUUAUACAAUACUUGUGAUAAAGUUAUAAGGUGACAUUACAAUAAGGUACCCUUUACAAAGGGCACCAUCAUGUAAAGUACUAACAUGUAUAAUUCUCCCAUUUUAGGUAGACAUGGCACCACAUUAACACAGGAUGGCUCAGCCCACAGAAGAACGCUGUCAUUUUUCAUCAUGCCCCAAAUUGAUUGGUAUCUACAGGAUUUAUUGAAGAGCAAAACAAUUCACAAGACCUCAAGGUUUCUGGCUGUAAUGCUCAGGACCUGAAGUUAACAGUGUGGCGGAUGCUCUACAUUGCAUCCUGUCAAACCGCCUUGCCAUCGCCACAACCUGGACUGAGGCAGAGCAUAAAGGCCUGUUUCAGGGACUUGUUUCUAAAGACCAUUCUUCACAAAGCCAUUCGGAAGAACCUGCAACCCAAGAUGCCAUGGAUAAGGGGGUCCAGAUUCAGAUCACCCUUUAGCUGAAAGGGGCCUCCGAUUGAGAAGGCGGCGGACAGGGGAGAGGGAUCCGCUGCAGUGAGGGUCAGCAUCAAGUCUCGGACCACCUAUCUCAAAACCAGCCUCUACCCCCCAAGCCACAAGACUGAUCCAAUAGCGGAGCCCUGGGCUGACUCCUGCACCCUACCACACACUUACCAUUUAUUCAUAUUCUGUACACACUUAAAUCACUUUAGUCUACCGGACCAAUGAAAUAGUCAUGUCACCUAACUGCACUAUGUAGAUAUACUAUCAUUCUAAUUCUACGCUGCUACUGCACUGCAGUUAUUCCACUCUAAGCACGUGGGCAAAAAAAUGUCCAUACUAUAUGACUGUAGGCUAUUUUGGUUUUUAUCUUAAGGCUAUUUUGGUUUGAUCUUAUUCUUAUUUGCAUCUUAUUUUCUUUGAUCUGCAUGCUUCUUUUUGCACUUGUUUUUAUUGUUUCAUUGUUAGUAUGUACAUGUAGUAAAGGAACUAUGACACAUUGAUUGCAGUCAGUUUUGCACUGUGUGAGAAGCCUAUCUGUAUUAUAAUUCUUUCAAAUGGACAUGGUAUGGACAUGGUAUGGACAUGGUAUGGACAUGGUAUGGACAUGGUAUGGACAUGGUAUGGACAUGGUAUGGACAUGCCAUUUGAAAGAGUAAUAAUACAGAUAGGCUUAAAUAAUAAAUCUUAAAUAAUACAAGUAAAUAAAAUAAAUAAGUGGAGAAAGGGAGUAGGCACGCCGCUGGCUUGAUGCUGAAAAAGUGCCGUGCCUCCGGCUGUCAGCUGUAGUGUCGCCGGUCGGGAGAAGGGUGGGUGAAG